GCAUAUCAAUAAGCGGAGGAAAAGAAACCAACAGGGGAUUGCCCUAGUAACGGCGAAGUGAAGCGGCAACAGCUCAAAUUUGAAAUCUGGCGUCUUUGGCGUCCGAGUUGUAAUUUGCAGAGGGCGCUUUGGCAUUGGCAGCGGUCCAAGUUCCUUGGAACAGGACGUCACAGAGGGUGAGAAUCCCGUACGUGGUCGCUAGCCUUUACCGUGUAAAGCCCCUUCGACGAGUCGAGUUGUUUGGGAAUGCAGCUCUAAAUGGGAGGUAAAUUUCUUCUAAAGCUAAAUACUGGCCAGAGACCGAUAGCGCACAAGUAGAGUGAUCGAAAGAUGAAAAGCACUUUGGAAAGAGAGUUAAAAAGCACGUGAAAUUGUUGAAAGGGAAGCGCUUGCAGCCAGACUUGCCUGUAGUUGCUCAUCCGGGUUUUUACCCGGUGCACUCUUCUAUAGGCAGGCCAGCAUCAGUUUGGGCGGUUGGAUAAAGGUCUCUGUCAUGUACCUCUCUUCGGGGAGAACUUAUAGGGGAGACGACAUGCAACCAGCCUGGACUGAGGUCCGCGCAUCUGCUAGGAUGCUGGCGUAAUGGCUGUAAGCGGCCCGUCUUGAAACACGGACCAAGGAGUCUAACAUCUAUGCGAGUGUUUGGGUGUCAAGCCCGAGCGCGUAAUGAAAGUGAACGGAGGUGGGAACCCCUCGGGGUGCACCAUCGACCGAUCCUGAUGUCUUCGGAUGGAUUUGAGUAAGAGCAUAGCUGUUGGGACCCGAAAGAUGGUGAACUAUGCUUGAAUAGGGUGAAGCCAGAGGAAACUCUGGUGGAGGCUCGCAGCGGUUUCUGACGUGCAAAUCGAUCGUCAAAUUUGGGCAUAGGGGCGAAAGACUAAUCGAACUAUCUAGUAGCUGGGUUCCUGCGA
rnacentral:rRNA from 1 species